GUCUAUGUCCAACUACCGCUCCUUAUCCACUCAUCCUACCACCACACAUCGCCCCACCAGCCGCCCCACGCCUCCUCCGUGAGACACGGCCGCCGCCCCGCUCCUCCUCUGGGCCAUGCGCCCCUCCACCGCGCUCCUUCUCGCUACAUGGCUGCCGCCCGGUCGUCCUCUCGUCGAGACCCGCCACGUCACACUCCCGACCUCCUCCUCCUCUUGCCUACUCCCGGCGACAAGUGCCACGCCCAGCCCCUGCCCGACGACCCCCUCCUCCUCCUUCCUCCUGAUGAUGCACGCGGGGCCUGCUCCCCCGGUCACCUGCGCCGUCGGGCGCAAGCCCGUUCUACCUCCCGCCGCGGGGACGGGCCCCUAAUGGUGGUGCUCAAGGAGUCUAAGAAGGCCACGAAAGGGUGACGCCGCCGGUGGACGUGGUCGUUCAAGGUGAUGGUCCUGGAUGGAGCGCAAUGGAAGGAGACAGACGACAUCAGCGACAACGUGCUGCUGGUCGGGGUGAACGAGUCGACAUCAGGAACGCCAUGCUGCUGGUCGUGGCAAAUGAGUCGGUGUGUGUGUCCAUCAGGGUGCACCCGAGGCUAUGGGCCGACUGUGUCUGCUCUUCAAGCGGAUGAGCAUGGGCGUUCACGGCUGGCGUGCUUCUGAAUUGGUGGGAUGGAUAGCGUGAGCACAUGGGACUUGGCGUUCUUAUGUUGGACGUGGCGUGGUAGUUUUGCUAGAUUCUUCUAUUCGCAUGCAACACUUUUUCAGGCAGUGCACUGGCUGUGGACGCCGUUUUCGGAAACUGUCGAGAGCUAUGCGUUUGGUCCUUCCGUUUCCCCUUCUAUUUCCAUCGAGCGUUCACAUCGAUGGUGGGGCGCUCGGGCGCCCGCUAGCUUCAUCCUUGUUUCUCUGUGUUUCUGUUACUUGUUUCAUUUUUUCUAUUUUAGUACUAUUUUUCAAGAUGUAUAAAUAAUAUGAAUAUAUUUUCGAUUCGUUAA